GGCAGUUCUCAGGUGACACACCCUGGAAUCGGGCUCCCUCCUCUCUGGUUCCGGGUGUGUCACCCAAGAACCACA
rfam:Myotis brandtii contig170161, whole genome shotgun sequence.